GAUCAUUUCGUGGAAAAUACAAGCCGGGGGUCCGUAGAAUGGAAAUUUGACAAGGUUGGGAAUCUGUGAUCACGAUGAACGAGAUGGAGCUUGUGGUUGGAUCGGAAGGUUUUCUGGCCUCAGGAACUUUGGCCAAGGCAGUUUCCUGGGUUGGUAAUGGUGCCUGUCUCCUCCAGGGCCACUCAACACAUCCAAUACUGUGACACAGGUAGGCUAGCCUCCUUCUCCUCUUUCCACCCUGUCUUUAGGAUCAUCUCCAGACAUCGAAGGGCAUCAUUAUCACGGAUAAGAACACAGAUGCUGGGGCUGGAGAGAUGGCGCAGAGGUUAAGAGCUGGCACUAAUCUUUCAGAGGACUGGAGUUUGGUUCCCAUCCCCAUGUUGGGCAGAUCAUGACGACCUGUGACUACAGCUUCAGAGGGCCUAGAACCUUCUUCUGGAGACCCUGCAUGCUCUGCCUUCAUGUGCUCCUUCCCCUAAGACACAGACGCCUUCCUAACCGUCUCUGGUGACAACAGGACAGGAACAUCACAGCUGUUUAUGUGCUAUGAUUUCCUAUGUGUGCACACAGGAAUAAGACUCUCUUGCCUUGCCUACAAACCACUCUUCACUCUUGGGAUGACCUUGCUCCAGCUGGGAUCAGAAGUUCUAGAGCAUUCUGGAAGACAAAAUGGGUAGCAAGUACAGGAGAGAGCUCCCAACUUCAUCACCACCGGGAAAAUGCAAAAUGCAACCAUGAGAUGCCACCUCUCAAACAUAAGGAUGACGAAAUGCAGAAGUCAAGUGGGUGAAGCCGUGCCCUCUUACAGAACUAGAUAAAGACAUUGUGAACACCCGGCGCGGGGGCUUCGUAGAAAGCUAAAAGUAGGGUUGCCGUAUGAUCCAGCAAGCUCACUUCUGGAUAGAGCAAAGGAAGUGAAGUCACAGACAACCGCUUUAUGCUUAUAUGUUGCAGUGUUAUAAUUGGUAGCAAUUUGCCUGAGAUGUGCCAACUGAUCCAGAUGAAGAAAUCAGGCUACACACGUACAAUAGAAGGGAAUGUGCUUCAGCCUUGGAAGAGGCAGUCCUGACGUCUAUGAGUGAACAUGGAAGACAAAUGUGCCCCUCAGGGAAAGCGACACAUACAAGUUUGUCUAGAGAACUAGAAUAUUCUUUCUUGUGGAAAGAAAGGCCAUUUCCCACGAGAGCUGAUGACCAGGAUGCGAAAUGACAUCUGGUGACCGCGCAGCUGCGGAUUGUCGAAUCCAAAGCAAUAAAAGGAUCUAGAAAUGUGAGCCAGUACUCUUUAAAAUAAAAAUAAAAAUAAAACC
ensembl:processed_transcript 1810053B23Rik RIKEN cDNA 1810053B23 gene